rnacentral:lncRNA from 1 species
UCUCACAGUCUCUGUGUCUCACUGUCACUGAGAACUGAGCCCCUUUCCCUUCCCCAUCCGGUGUUUUGAGGGGCCUCAUGUUCUGCUCUUGAGCUGGCCAGAGCCUUGCCUCUUCCCGAACACAAGUUCUGACCGAUGACCCUGGGCUGGAGCCACUUCCAGGAGGGUUUGGCUGCAACCUCUGCCGCCGUCUUGCCCCAUGGGGGCAGCUUGUUUGAAACUGGAACUGGGAGAGCAGAGCAGGGCUGGGGAGCCAGUCUAGGUUAGCUGCUGCCAUCGCAGUGAAGAUGGUCCAGUCGGAUACGCCGCCUGAACCUCAGCACCACACAUGGUUCCUGGAGCCCAAGUCAGUGGGAUGUUUGUCAUUUGGGUCCCCGGCACCUUCCUACAGGGUCCACGCGGAGGAUCUGAACUCAGAAACUUGAGGACUUCACCUUGCUACAAAGGCAUCACAGCCCUGACAUCACGCAGCUUUGAUAAUCCACCAGGUGUUUAAUCACAGGGACAGAGCACACCUCAAAGUGGUUUACGCACACACACAAAGAGGAAAUUCGCUGACAGGAGUUGAGAUGAGAGUGACAGGUUAUGGGCUCCAGGGGCGGCGCAGUCCAGGCAUUCCCACGAUGUCCUGUGGGCUGUGCCAGAACCCUGGGAAGAGCAACGUGGUCGGAGGGUCCCGGGGGAGAGUGGGUGGCGGAGGGUCCCCGGGGAGAGCAGGGUGGCCGGAGGGUCCGGGGGGAGAG